ACGGGUGAGUAACACGUGGGCAAUCUGCCCUUCACUCUGGGACAAGCCCUGGAAACGGGGUCUAAUACCGGAUAUCACUUCCACUCCCAUGGGUGGGGGUCGAAAGCUCCGGCGGUGAAGGAUGAGCCCGCGGCCUAUCAGCUUGUUGGUGAGGUAAUGGCUCACCAAGGCGACGACGGGUAGCCGGCCUGAGAGGGCGACCGGCCACACUGGGACUGAGACACGGCCCAUACUCCUACGGGAGGCAGCAGUGGGGAAUAUUGCACAAUGGGCGAAAGCCUGAUGCAGCGACGCCGCGUGAGGGAUGACGGCCUUCGGGUUGUAAACCUCUUUCAACAGGGAAGAAGCGAAAGUGACGGUACCUGCAGAAGAAGCGCCGGCUAACUACGUGCCAGCAGCCGCGGUAAUACGUAGGGCGCAAGCGUUGUCCGGAAUUAUUGGGCGUAAAGAGCUCGUAGGCGGUCUGUCGCGUCGGAUGUGAAAGCCCGGGGCUUAACCCCGGGUCUGCAUUCUAUACGGGCAGACUAGAGUGUGGUAGGGGAGAUCGGAAUUCCUGGUGUAGCGGUGAAAUGCGCAGA
rnacentral:rRNA from 1 species